GUGCUCCUGUGAUUUGGAAGCGAUACAGCCCAGCGAAGGCUGACGUAGACCAAGGGAGGGCAACGGGCACGUUGCCAUCCACUGGGCUUUGCGGUUGUGCGUGGUUGUGCGUGGAAGUCUCCCUGGUCUGCACAUCAGCCCUGCUGACUUUCCUCUAGAUGUCAUUCUCGCUGUGUAAGAAGCUGGCCUGUGGUGUGCGUUGGAGCACAGGGAUGGACUGGAAGGAGUGAGGGGAUUGGAAGUUGUGCCUUGUCCCUCCCUUCGGUCUGCCUCCAUUGGUCACCAUGCCCGUAUCCAAAAUGCCGUUCCAAGCAGGAAAGGUUACUCCUUGGAUGGACAGGUGGGAUUCUUUGUGGAGCUUCCGUGGAGCUCCCACAUGCUCAUACGUCUUUCCUCUGCUGCACCCCAAAGUGAUGACCAUGUUCCACGUCAUCUUCCUACUGCUGCUGACUGGGCUGAGCUGGGGAAGGACUUCCCUUUCCGAGAUCCCACUUUACCUUGGGAGGAAUGGUUGGGUGACCUGGUGAACAGACUGACGGUGGACGAGAUGGUGCUCCAGGAGCCGUACGAGGAGGACCCAUUCCUGACAGCAGAGCUGGGGCGGCUUUUGUGAGGGGGCUGCAGGGCACCCACCCCCGCUACAUCAAGGCCAGUGCCGGUUGUGAACACUUCGAUGUCCACGGAGGCCCUGAGAACAUCCCCAGCUCCUGGUUCGCCUUUACUGCCAAGGGAUCUGGAACUUGGUGCCUUCAAGCCAUCUUGGACAACUCCCAUCAUCCCCAGCCAGCUUUGCCAGUGAAUAGGUUGUGGGAAUUGCAGUCCCAGAGAUCUGCAGGACACUAAGCGGACCACCGUAGAGCCAUUCAUGGUUCUCCAUCGCAAGUUCAUCUUACCGUCGCAACGUCUCUCUGAGGCAGCCUGGGCUGGGAAGUCGUACCUGAGCCGAGCCCCCAGGCGAGUCUGCUGGGGGCGCGUCCAGUCCUCCCACUGCUGCUGCAUCGCUCUGAGUCCUGAACUCACCAGCAUGGCACAGUAUCAGCUGGUCUUGUUUCUUGCUAACCUCUGGGCGCUUCGAUUGCAGCGGCAGGCAAGCCAGUGAUUCUGUUGCUCUUCAACGCAGGCCCGCUUGACGUGAGCUGGACCAAGGCGCAGGACGGUGUGGGAGCCGUCCUGGCCUGCUUCUUCCCCGCUCAGGCCACUGGCCUGGCCAUCGCCAAACCGAAGGGGCAACUCCUGCUGGCAGGCUGCCAGCCAGUCAGCCAGCGAGCAUGCACCAGGUAACGCUUGGCUCACACGUCCUCUGCGGUGGCUGGCCUCCUGAGGAGACACAAAGCGACAACUCCUCCACGCAAGUGCCAGCUUGAAUAAAUGCAGUUGUUGGAAAGGUAUCUCUGGAUUGUACUUAGACAUCUAGCAUUUGGCAGCUGGUUUUCCUGGACUGAACCCUGUUCUUGAACUUGCGGUUUUCUGUGAACAACUUCUUUUUUUUUUAAGAGGUGCAGCCUUUAGAUGUCUAAACCAUUCCCCCUCCCAUAUCUUAAUGUCCAUGAACCAAGUAAAUAAUUUUAAAGCACAAGGCAUCGGUGAAUAUUAAAGACUGUUUCAGGACAAAUUUUAUCUAUGUAAUAACCUCUGCCCGGAAAGAAGAAACUACCAGACAUUGCCGAAGCGUGUUCAAGCGACGCACUGGCUAUAUCGAACCCCUCCCAAUUAGCUGAAUUUGGCAAUCUGUUAUUAAAGUGGAGUUGUACUGUCCAGUAGACACCAAUGUCUUUGCUGAAAACGAUGCAAACUAAGACACAGCCUAUGCAGAGGCCAAAGUGCCGAUCCCUCGAUUAGGCAUUUUGGAUGGUGGUGUUGUCUACACCAGUUCCACAAAGGUACCCACAGGUCUCAGGACUCCAUUUGGGAGCAUCCCCAGCCUCUGUAACCAGAGAGUUUUUUUAUGGCAGGAACUAAAUUGAUUGCUUUCUGUGUGCAAAGCUUUCGUCUACCAGCCACCAUCCUCAAAAUACUGUCCAUGGGGGCAUGUUUGACCCCUGUCCUGCCACCAUCUGUGCGUCAAUUGCCACUUCUUUCAGCCACCUGCGCACUGGUCAGUUUUUCCUAGACAGGAGUUUGAACAAGCAGGUCAGAGGUCCUCAGACUUCUUCGAAAGGGGGCCAGUUCACAGGUGCCAGUGGUGGGCAUGGGCCGCCAAGG